GGCCUCAUGGCUCAGUUGGCAGAGCAUUGGACUAGUAUCCCAAAGGUCGCGGGUUCGAUUCCCACCGUGGUCA